rnacentral:lncRNA from 1 species
CAAACAUCUAUUUUUCCCACCUCGAGGUGUGAGAUAAUUGGAGUGAAUAGCAACACUUUACCCCUUUGACAAACGAGUUCAACGCAAAUUGCUACCUUUGCACCCUGAAAAAACCCAAUCGAAGGUCAGACAAUUAGGUAAACUACAGGUGUCUCCAAGCAGCAGGCAAUUUUUACGUCCCCGAGGCCGGUGGUGGCUGGUCCACUCCAGGAAUCUGAGGCGAGGGAGGUCCCUCCGCCCCCUUUGGACAUCGAGGGGGCCCUGGUGUACUCCGUUCGUUCCAUCCUGGAUUCGAGGCAUCGGGCAGGGGGCCUUCAGUACCUUGUGGAGUGGGAGGGAUACGGUCCGGAGGAGAGGUGCUGGGUCCCGGUUGCGGAUGUUUUGGACCCCGAACUGCUGCGGGAGUUUCACCAUCGCCGGCUGGAUCGCCCUGCGCUUCGCCCUCCGCAUCGUCCUGAGGUCGGUGUCGGCGUGCCACUGGAGCCGCUCGUCAAGGGAGGGGUACUGUCACGACUUCCGCCGAAGUCGGCUCCUCUCCUUGUUCAGGCGGCGUUCGGCGAUCGACGUCACCGGCUUUCUAGCCAUCGCCGCUCCAUUUCUCAUAUGUCCAUUUGUUUUGUCUUGUUCCAUACACACCUGGUUUACAUUCCCCAAUCAAUCUACAUGUAUUUAGUCCUCUGUUCCCCAUCAUGUCUUUAUGUGUAAUUGUUUAUUGUUACGUGGGAUAUUUGUCAGGCGCUGCACUUUUGUUAUUAGACCGUGUUUUUGGCACUAGUAUGUUUUAGGUGCUGUCGUUGUUGACCGGUAUUAAAGUGCGCCUGUUUAUUAUACUCCAAGGGAAGCUUCUUCUUCAUGACACCCACCAGUAUUAUUAGAAACAUCAGUCAAGCUGUUAGGGCCUUGCAAACAGAAGUGCCUGCUGAUGUCCCAUUCCCCAUGUGAUGUAUGGUUAGCCCUCACUCGACAAACAUGUAGGGCAAGGGCCAUGCACCAGGGCACCCCUUGUUGAUGAAGUGGCACCACCCUAAACAAAUUCCCACAAAGGCAGGAAGGGCAGGGGCAUUGAACCCCUACUCCCUAGAAAAAGGCCUUCCCGUCCACUCAGCCCUGUGUACAGGGCAUUGACUGUAAGGACACACAGGGAGGAGCACAACGAUGGGCAAUACAGGCUGUUUUUCCUGUUGAAGCAUUCUUUGUGUGAGAGAAGAGGACUCCUCUCUGGAAACACAGGAAGGCUCACCAGGGGUCGGCAGAGGAAUGUAAACACACACAUAGACUCCCUCCACACCACAGAGUGUGCUGUGUGCAAACUUGACAUAUCCCAUAGGUCUUCCCCCGGAAUGAAAAACAUAAACAUCACGCUGAUUUCACUUGUGUGGAUAAUGGACGGAUGUUAACUUGCUUACCCGUAAAACUUCAAUUAAAUGCUGAGUCUCAAAUAGACUUCAGCCAACCAAGUCAUAGACGGUUCUCUCUGCUGCCGCACGGCAAGUGGUACCGUUGCACCAAGUCUGGACCCAACAGGACCCAGCUUCUAUCCCCAAGCCAUAAGGCUGCUAAAUAGUUAGUUAAAUAGUUAACCUAAUUGCUACCCAGACUAAAAAGGCAAAAAAGAUCAUCAAGGACAACAACCACCCGAGCCACUGCCUUUUCACCCCGCUAUCAUCCAGAAGGCGAGGCCAACAGACUGUUAAAUAGCCAUCACUAGCACAUUAGAGUCUGCUGCCCUAUAUACAUAGACUUGAAAUCACUGGUGACUUUAGUAAUGGAACACUAGUCACUUUAAUAAUCUUUACAUACUGCUUUACUCAUCUCAUAUGUAUAUACUGUAUUCUAUUCUACUGUAUCUUAUUCUAUGCCGCUCUGACAUUGCUCAUCCAAAUAUUUAUAUAUUCUUAAUUCCAUUCCUUUACUUAAGAUUUGUGUGUAUUGUUGUGAAAUGUUAGAUAUUACUUGUUAGAUAUUACUGCACUGUUGGAGCUAGAAACACACGCAUUUCGCUACACUCGCAAUAACAUCUGCUAAACACGUGUAUGUGACCAAAAAAAUGUGAUUUGAUUAGAUUUUGACUAUCGGCAUUGACCCUUUUUGCACUAACUUUUUUUGACUCAUCACAUACGCUGCUGCUACUGUUUACUAUCUGUCACUUUACUCCGAGUUAUAUGUCACCUAAAACACUCACCCCGCCCUCAACCUCAAUGCUCUCCAGAGGGUAGUGCGGUCUGCACAACACAUCACCGGGGGCAAACUAACUGCCCUCCAAGACACCUACCGCACCCGAUGUCACAGGAAGGUCAAAAAGAUCAUCAAGGACAACAACCACUGCCUGUUCACCCCGCUAUCAUCCAGAAGGCGAGGUCAGUACAGGUGCAUCAAAGCUGGGACCGAGAGACUGAAAAACAGCUUCUAUCUCAAAGCCAUCAGACUGUUAAACAGCCAUCACUAACAUUGAGUGGCUGCUGCGAACAUACAGACACAAAUCUCUGGCCACUUAAAUAAAUUGACUUAAUAAAUGUAUCACUAGUCACUUUAAAUAACGCCACUUUAAUAAGGUUUACAUAUCCUACAUUACUUAUCUCAUAUGUAUAUACUGUAUUCUAUACCAUCUACUGCAUCUUGCCUAUGCAGCACGGCCAUCGCUCAUCCAUAUAUUUAUAUGUACAUAUUCUUAUUCAUCCCUUUACAUUUGUGUGUAUAAGGUAGUCAUUGUGAAUUUGUUAGAUUACUGUUAGAUUACUUACGGGAAGGACCCGUAAGUAAGCAUUUCACUGUUAGUCUACACCUGUUGUUUACAAAGCAUGUAGUGAAUAAAAUUGUAUUUUAUUUGGCCAUGCAUGACUGACCGUAGCGGCAAAGCCAGCAAAAUGCAAAGGGUUUGUUUCAAACUGUCUCUUUUCAUGUACUGUAGUAUCUAAAAGACAGGUCUUCUGCUGCCAAAUCUGUACCCCUAGCCACUAGCUAAAUCCACACAGAUUUACCCAUGACUUGACUUUGGAACAUUGUUAUUUUUUCUUUGCAUCAGGGUUUUUUCCCAUCCUGCCAAAUGAUGUUGGUUGUUCUGUUAGAAGUGAGCUCGGGAUCAAAAGGAGGGAUGGUGUGAUGGGUGUAUGGGCAUGGGGGGGUGUUGCAGCUGUCUGGAUCAAAUGGAUCAGAGUCAACUGGGGUGGGGUGGUUUAGGCAGGGGGCUCAUAGGGGACACCUAUUCUUCUGUGUCAUAGCCAGCCUGCACGGCACAUAUGCCAGUCCCAAGGCCACUCUGAAAGCCAUGCCCCCAUGCAGCCUUCUCAACUGUAACUCUGUGUAAUAACAUGGCCUGUUCUUCCAUUAAUGGUUUCCAUGAUGCGGCCGUCCUCUUCACUCCACUGAAAUGUGUGUGAGUGAUAUAUAUAUAUAUAUGUCCCCAGCAGACACACGUUGUGAAUGUGUGUACAUGAGCACUUUGUUUGAGUUUUGUUUUCAGACACCAAGACAAUAGAAAUGCCAAAACAGAUGUAGAAACAGUUAGAGUGGUGUUGCGGAUGUUUGUACUCCCUCUCUCCCCCUCGCCUUGUGAUUGCACAUCAACGUUGUAGAGUAAGUGUUAAAGUGCCUGUGAUUGAUUUGGUUGUUUAGCUCCUUGAAGCAGUAGUCUGUUAAUGAAGGAGCCCUGAACUCGGACUGCAGAGAGUGGUGAGAUCACAGACAGCCCCUGGACAACACUGUCCUUGGAACAAUGGUUAACCCUAAUUAGAAGUGUUAUUUGUAACAUAGGCAGCUUUUUGUGCAGCCACUGGCCAUUGUCAUUUAACCCAAAAGGCGAUAAUGCUUGAUAGUGGGUUAGGUGUUUGAAGGUUUUAAUGGUACCUGGUAAAAGUGGUGAACAGUUGAGAACAGCUGACAUGGGUUAAGGAAGUGAGAGAAGCACUGUCAUGGCAAAUACACACACUCCCUACUGUUUGUUUGCUCCCAGCUUGGGGAGGUGGGCUGAGCUGGUUUCAACACUGACUGAUUUAUAGUUUGGCGCUGUCUAUCAAGCAGCUGACAGAUGGACAUUGCACUGCAACCUCAGCAGCACAGCAGACACAUCACUUUCCAAACUCCAUCCAUUUCACUACCAACUGGAAUGCUAAGGAUAAGUCAAUGGGGCAUUCUUUUCUACACUUUUGACUACUUUAAUACACAUAUAAGUGAAUUUGUCCCAAUACUUUUGGUCCCCUAAAAUGGGGGACUAUGUACAAAAAGUGCUUUAAUUUCUAAAUGGAAAAGACCCUCAAAUUAAAGCUGACAGUCUGCACUUUAUUGUCACAGUCAUUGUAUCAUUUCAAAUCGAAAGUCCUGGAGUACAGAACCAAAAC